UUGUUAAAACAUGAUGCGUAUCUUGUAUAAACGUGAUAGUAAGACGUGAUAUGUAUCUUGUAUAAACGUGAUAGUUAUCUUGUUAAAACAUGAUGCGUAUCUUGUAUAAAUGUGAUGCGUAUCUUGUAUAAACGUAAUAGUAUCUUGUUAAGACGUGAUAUGUAUCUUGUAUAAACGUGAUACUAUCUUGUUAAAACGUGAUAUUAUCUUGUUAAAACAUGAUGCAUAUCUUGUAUAAACGUGAUGCUAUCUUGUUAAGACGUGAUAUGUAUCUUGUAUAAACGUGAUAGUUAUCUUGUAUAAACGUAAUAGUAUCUUGUAUAAACGUGAUACUAUCUUGUUAAAACGUGAUGCGUAUCUUGUAUAAACGUGAUAGUAUCUUGUAUAAACGUAAUAGUAUCUUGU